rnacentral:tRNA from 1 species
GGUAAGGUGGCCGAGUAGGCGGCGGACUGUAAACCCGAAGACGGGGGUGAGAGCCCCCCCCUUACCA